rnacentral:rRNA from 1 species
AAUGAACGCUGGCGGCGUGCUUAACACAUGCAAGUCGUGCGCGAUGGUGGCUUCGGCUGCCGGAGAGCGGCGAACGGGUGAGUAACACGUGGGCAAUCUGCCUGGGGGUGUGGGAUAACCUGGGGAAACUCGGGCUAAUACCGCAUACGUUGUCGGGACCUUGGUCCUGCCAAGAAAGCUGGCCUCUGUUUACAAGCUAGCGCUCCCAGAGGAGCCCGCGCCUGAUAGCUAGUUGGUGAGGUAAUGGCUCACCAAGGCGACGAUCAGUAGCCGGCCUGAGAGGGUGAUCGGCCACACUGGAACUGAGACACGGUCCAGACUCCUACGGGAGGCAGCAGUGGGAAUAUUGGACAAUGGGACGAAAGCCUGAUCCAGCAACGCCGCGUGGAGGAUGAAGUCC